UGAGUACAGUAGAGGUGGGCGGAAUUCGUGGUGUAGCGGUGAAAUGCUUAGAUAUCACGAAGAACUCCGAUUGCGAAGGCAGCUCACUGGACUGCAACUGACACUGAUGCUCGAAAGUGUGGGUAUCAAACAGGAUUAGAUACCCUGGUAGUCCACACAGUAAACGAUGAAUACUCGCUGUUUGCGAUAUACAGUAAGCGGCCAAGCGAAAGCAUUAAGUAUUCCACCUGGGGAGUACGCCGGCAACGGUGAAACUCAAAGGAAUUGACGGGGGCCCGCACAAGCGGAGGAACAUGUGGUUUAAUUCGAUGAUACGCGAGGAACCUUACCCGGGCUUAAAUUGCAGUGGAAUGAUGUGGAAACAUGUCAGUGAGCAAUCACCGCUGUGAAGGUGCUGCAUGGUUGUCGUCAGCUCGUGCCGUGAGGUGUCGGCUUAAGUGCCAUAACGAGCGCAACCCUUAUCUUCAGUUACUAACAGGUCAUGCUGAGGACUCUGGAGAGACUGCCGUCGUAAGAUGUGAGGAAGGUGGGGAUGACGUCAAAUCAGCACGGCCCUUACGUCCGGGGCUACACACGUGUUACAAUGGGGGGUACAGAAGGCAGCUAGCGGGUGACCGUAUGCUAAUCCCAAAAUCCUCUCUCAGUUCGGAUCGAAGUCUGCAACCCGACUUCGUGAAGCUGGAUUCGCUAGUAAUCGCGCAUCAGCCACGGCGCGGUGAAUACGUUCCCGGGCCUUGUACACACCGCCCGUCAAGCCAUGGGAGCCGGGNNUACCUGAAGUACGUAACCGCAAGGAUCGUCCUAGGGUAAAACUGGUGACUGGGGCUAAGUCGUAACAAGGUAACCA
rnacentral:rRNA from 1 species